rnacentral:rRNA from 1 species
AUACGGAGGGCGCAAGCGUUGCUCGGAAUCACUGGGCGUAAAGCGGGUGUAGGCGGUCUAGCAAGUCAGAUGUGAAAGCCCACGGCUCAACCGUGGAAGUGCAUCUGAAACUGCUAGACUUGAGUGCCGGAGAGGGAAGUGGAAUUCCUGGUGUAGGGGUGAAAUCCGUAGAUAUCAGGAGGAACACCGGUGGCGAAGGCGACUUCCUGGACGGCCACUGACGCUGAGACCCGAAAGCGUGGGGAGCAAACAGGAUUAGAAACCCCUGUAGUCC